GUUUAAAUAGUUUAAUUUUUUAAAAAUUUAAUAUUGAAAAUAUUAAGAUAUAAUAUUAUUAUUUUAAAUA
rnacentral:tRNA from 1 species